AAAUAAUGCCCCCAGAAGUGCCUCAUUAUCGAUCUUCUGCAACUCCUCUAGUAUGGUUCUCUCAUAGACAACAAUUACUGGGGAGUAGGAGAGACCCAACAUGAACUUUGCCACAAAGAAACUCCAUCCCUUUUUAUCCUUGUGCUCCUUUCAAUCGUUUCUGUACUCAGACUUGUUAGAAUAUCGAGAAAGGUGCCCGUGCCCCCUUCGGAAUUUGCUGGUUUUGCAUCAUUGAUCUCAUCUCUUGACCUGUGUAGGAGCUGGGCGAUGGAAAAAUUGACGAGGACAAGGAUCUUUCGGUUAUGGCAAGUGUAGAAUUGAAGAAGUGUUUGCAAAUAAAAAGGUAAAGCAAAUAACGGAAAUGAGCUUAAUUAUCUGCUAAUCAAGGAAGAGCUGAAAUGGAGAAGAGACUGGUCUGGAAAGUAGAAGGCUCUUCUGAAGGAGAACAAAAAGCCUCGAGGGGAGGACCUGUUGAUCCAAACAAGCUGGUGGUGGAUCUAGCUCCAAUGGAAAUUCGAACGUUUACGAUAAACUUCUAGUCCAAGACUCCAAGCACUUGACAGCUGAAAAGUUAAGGUAGUAAGUAGUUAUUGACAGAUACUCUCUCUUGUAUCUGGGUUGACAAUCAAGUGUUCAGACUCCAAUUGUAGUUUUACUUGGACUAUAUGUUUGGUCAGUUUCUC